UGAACGCUGGCGGCGUGCCUAACACAUGCAAGUCGAGCGAGAAAGUCCCUUCGGGGGCGAGUACAGCGGCGAACGGGUGCAUAACACGUGAGCAUUUACCCAUUAGUGAAGGAUAACUUCGAGAAAUCGAGGCUAAUACUGCAUACGUCCCUCCGGGGAGAAAGGUGGCCUCUUUGCUGCCGCUAAUGGAUGAGCUUGCGGGCUAUCAGCUUGUUGGUAAGGUAAAGGCUUACCAAGGCUAUGACGGCUAGCCGACCUGAGAGGGUGUACGGCCACAUUGGAACUGAGAUACGGUCCAGACUCCUACGGGAGGCAGCAGUGGGGAAUAUUGCGCAAUGGGCGAAAGCCUGACGCAGCGACGCCGCGUGGAGGAUGAAGGUCUUCGGAUUGUAAACUUCUGUUAAGUGGGAAGAAAUCCUUGUUUUUAAUACAAACGAGGGAUGACGGUACCAUUAGAGAAAGCACCGGCUAACUCC
rnacentral:rRNA from 1 species